GAUGAAGAACGUAGCGAAAUGCGAUAAGUAAUGUGAAUUGCAGAAUUCAGUGAAUCAUCGAAUCUUUGAACGCCCAUUGCGCCCAUUAGCAUUCUAGUGGGCAUGCCUGUUCGAGCGUCAUUUCAACCCUUAAGCCCUGUUGCUUAGCGUUGGGAGCCUACAGUACUGUAGCUCCCCAAAGUUAGUGGCGGAGUCGGUUUCACACUCUAGACGUAGUAAUUUUUUCUCGUCUGUAGUUGAGCCGGUCCCCUGCCGUAAAACACCCAAUUUAUCAAGGUUGACCUCGGAUCAGGUAGGAAUACCCGCUGAACUUAAGCAUAUCAAUAAGCGGAGGA
rnacentral:misc_RNA from 1 species